UACGUAGGGGGCAAGCGUUGUUCGGAAUUACUGGGCGUAAAGGGCUCGUAGGCGGCCAACUAAGUCAGACGUGAAAUCCCCAGGCUCAACCUGGGAACUGCGUCUGAUACUGGAUGGCUUGAAUCCGGGAGAGGGAUGCAGAAUUCCAGGUGUAGCGGUGAAAUGCGUAGAUAUCUGGAGGAAUACCGGUGGCGAAGGCGGCAUCCUGGACCGGCAUUGACGCUGAGGAGCGAAAGCGUGGGGAGCAAACAGG
rnacentral:rRNA from 1 species